GCAGCCACCUGCAGUGGUGGCCUCCAAGGAGGAAAAACCUGUCGAUCAGAAUCCAUCACUGGAGGAUACUGAGGCAGCUGGAGAUUUCAGCGAUGAGCAGCCUGACGUUACAGAUACUGAUAGUCUGAGUCUCGUCAGCUGUGACUCACAUGACUUUGUUUAAGCCCCCGUUCCCCUUUAGGGUCCUCAGUGACUCACCUGGUAAAAGCACUGCCUUGUGGAGUGCAGGGGGGGUCAUGCAAUCAGAAGCUUGCUAAUUCAAAUCCUGGUUGCGUCAAGUUGCCGAUCUUGACUGGGGGCCCUUAUUGAGCGCUUCAUUGGCCAUUGCGCUCCCACGGGUUAGGGAGGGAAAAUCGGAUGGGGUUGGUUCACCUCACUGUGCCACAGCAACCCCUGGGCAGGCACCUGUCGAGACUGGGCAGAGACCAGCCAAGCUGACUGUAACUGUUUCCUUCCAGGGUUCAAUAGCUUGGCCACAUUUGCUGCUUAGGUUCGUCAGGUGAAACGUUGCGAUUGGCUAGACUCUGUGGUCAGUAUGUGGGUUGCUGCAGUGAGGGGACACGGAAAUUGGGCAUUUCAAAUUAGGGAGAAAUAUUGGGCAUUUCAAAAUAGGGUGAAUAUCCAGGCCUUUCAAAUUGGGAAAAGAAUAUUUAGGCAUUUGAAAUCGGCAGAGGUAAAUAACUAAUUGGGCACACUAAAUCAAACAUUGUCAUGAAUCCAGGCAUUUUAUGAAUCCUUUAUUCCCAAAAGGAAACCCACCAUUAACCAACACACCUAUCAGAAACCUGGACAACAAAGACAAUCAGAACCCACUGGCAGUUCUGAAAGCACCCAUGGCGGAUUGUGCAGAAAAGAAGACAUCUUCUUUUUAGCUGCCAUCCAUGGGUAUCAAUAGGAACCCAGUUUAGCCUCUUUGUUGUCCACUGGCAGUCCUGACUCACCCAUGGUGGAAUGUGCAGAGAAGAAGCAGCCUUCUUUUUUGCUGCCAUCUAUGGGUGGAAACAGGGAUCAAGUGGAGCUUCUUCCAUUGGAUGAGGAGCUGGAUCACACAGCUGAUAACCCACUGACAGUCCUGACUCACCCAUGGUGGAAUGUGCAGAGAAGAAGCAGCCUUCUUUUUUGCUGCCAUCUAUGGGUGGAAACAGGGAUCAAGUGGAGCUUCUUCCAUUGGAUGAGGAGCUGAAUCAUAGAGCUGAUAAUUGUCCUGCAUCGCUAUGGACACAGCAACGAUCAUCUAUUGCAUUGUAUCUGAUGUGAUGGACACAUAACCUCCUAAACCAGUGAGAACUGUGGCCCUCAAGCACAGUCUUGAGCUUUACCAGCUCUACAGAUUCUUUUAUUGCUGGUUUGUCAA